rnacentral:tRNA from 1 species
CCGUAGCGCAGUUGGUAGCGCAACUGAUUCGUAAUCAGUAGGUCGUCGGUUCGAGUCCGAUCG